rnacentral:rRNA from 1 species
UGGUGGCGAUAGCAAGAAGGAUACACCUGUUCCCAUGCCGAACACAGAAGUUAAGCUUCUUAGCGC